GACGAACGCUGGCGGUGUGCUUAACACAUGCAAGUCGAACGGUAAGGCCCUUUCGGGGGUACACGAGUGGCGAACCGGUGAGUAACACGUGAGUAACCUGCCCUCAUCUCUGGGAUAACAGUCGGAAACGGUUGCUAAUACUGGAUAUGAGCUUGCAAGGCAUCUUGUGGGUUGGAAAGAUUUUUUUGGUUGGGGAUGGACUCGCGGCCUAUCAGCUUGUUGGUGAGGUAGUGGCUCACCAAGGCUUCGACGGGUAGCCGGCCUGAGAGGGCGACCGGCCACAUUGGGACUGAGAUACGGCCCAAACUCCUACGGGAGGCAGCAGUGGGGAAUAUUGCACAAUGGACGGAAGUCUGAUGCAGCAACGCCGCGUGCGGGAUGACGGCCUUCGGGUUGUAAACCGCUUUCAAUUGUGACGAAGCUUUUUGUGACGGUAGCAGUAGAAGAAGCACCGGCUAACUACGUG
rnacentral:rRNA from 1 species